GCUUACGGCCAUACCAGCCCAGAGAACGCCCGGUCCUCGUCUGAUCUCGGAAGCUAAGAAGGCUUGGGCCUCGGUUAGUACUUGGAUGGGAGACCUCCUGGGAAUAACCAGGUGCUGUAAGCU
ensembl:rRNA 5S_rRNA 5S ribosomal RNA